UAGGGAAUCUUCCGCAAUGGACGCACGUCUGACGGAGCAACGCCGCGUGAGUGAAGAAGGAUUUCGGUUCGUAAAACUCUGUUGUUAGAGAAGAACAGCGCAUAGAGUAACUGUUAUGCGUGUGACGGUAUCUAACCAGAAAGCCACGGCUAACUACGUGCCAGCAGCCGCGGUAAUCCGUAGGUGGCAAGCGUUGUCCGGAUUUAUUGGGCGUAAAGCGAGCGCAGGCGGUCAAUUAAGUCUGAUGUGAAAGCCCCCGGCUCAACCGGGGAGGGUCAUUGGAAACUGGUUGGCUUGAGUGCAGAAGAGGAGAGUGGAAUUCCAUGUGUAGCGGGGAAAUGCGUAGAUGUAUGGAGGAACACCAGUGGCGAAAGCGACUCUCUGGUCUGUAACUGACGCUGAGGCUCGAAAGCGUGGGUAGCAAACAAG
rnacentral:rRNA from 1 species